CUACAUUAUACAUAUAUGCUUUCCUACUAUUUAUAUAUUAUAUUUCUACUAGAUUAUAUUGUCCUGGAUUUCUAUGAGUUUUGGUUAAGAUCAAAUGCUCUUAAUGCUUGUGGGCAUGCCUACCUAUAUAGGAAUACCCCACUCACUCCAUGACUCUAAAAUUUACCAACUUUCCCCCAUGUGUAUGUUUAAAAUAGCCUUGUAUUCUAUUUAUAGAAGUAACGCAUUUUGAAAAGAAGAGAAUAGGUAGCCCUUGAAGUUCCAUCACCACUUGUACUCGGAUGACUUCCUGUACCAUUUCUGUUUCUGUGCGCCCCUUCUACAUAUGACUGAACGUGUGGGCCAUCAAAAGGGAAAGGAGAGUGCUUCACCCAGCAGCUUUACCUGAGCUCCCAUCAAGGGACAAAGGGAGAUGGAGCUUCUUCCCUUCCCAGAAAGCAAAACUGAUGCAAAACCAGGAGUGUGGGUUGGCCAGAGAGAAACCGGAAGAGAAAAGGGCAGUGGAAUCCUUUCAAAUCAUCAAAUACCUUUUCAGCUCACAGACUGGCUCAUUUUCAUUAUGUACUUUUAAAAGAAGGAAACCUGAAAUAGGUUCUUUCUAUACAGCACAUGGUGAUUCCUUUGCUAGUAAGAUCUUUUUCGUCUGUUCAUGACAUUGGAAAAUAAAACUAUGGAGUCAUACCUCAUUGGGUUUUUUAUGUUCUUUUUCUCCUAUGGCAUAUAAAAUUGAAUAUCCAGCUCCUUCAGAAAUAAACAUAUAUCCCUCAAUAAGCUCAACUUUCAGUAACAUUUAAAACUUCAAAG
rnacentral:lncRNA from 1 species